UUCUUUUCAUGUAGGCCCUGUCUGGUGAAUGUGGUUUCAUGGCUGCUAAUUUAUAUGCCCGUUCAAUUUUUGGUGAAUAUGCCCUAGCUAAUGUAAGCAUUGAGAAAAAUCCUGUUCAUCCUGAAGCUCCAGUGACUGGUCACAUUAGAAUUCGAGCUAAAAGUCAGGGAAUGGCCCUCAGUCUAGGCGACAAAAUCAAUACAAGUCAAAAAAUGGCUUUGAAGACUGGCGCUUGAAACUAUGAAAGAAGAAGUUUUAUUGAGUCAAAACAUCUUCAUUAUUUAAAAUAAGAACUUUUUUGACAUUCAAAGAUCAUGAUAUCUCAAAUUUAAAGGUAUAUUAUUAUACAUUGUAUUUUAAAAACAUUCUUCAUUUUGUUGUACGUUAAAUUUAUAGUAUUUUUCCAUGUAUAAAUAAAUCCACGUUGAAUAAUA